rnacentral:lncRNA from 1 species
GUCAAUUUCAGUAUGAAUGUUUCUACAUUUGAUUGUGUUAGAUAUGACUCGAAAUUUACUAUCGAUUCAGGUUCGGAUUUACGACUCGUCGACAGCUUCGCGGUGCGACUAAUUUAGAAAAGAAAAUUAUGGAGGAAAAUGAAUGUCUGUAGUGGGGUGCGGGGGGCGGAGCCCCCCGCGGUACGGAUCGGAUCCGAAACCUGUUAUGAGUUUUUCUUUUCGUUUUUUAUCCUAGAGGCGUGUGAUCGUGGUUGGUUGUAACCUGAAGAACAUUGUAUUCCCUUUUCGUUCCAUAGUGAAGUCCUCUCCUCCCUCGCCCGUGGUUUUUUCCUGCAAAAGAAUUUUUCAUGUAAAUCUGUGUCUCUUUAUUUUUCUGCUUGUGGUUUGAUUGUUUUUGUGUUCGUCAUUUCGUUUCUGUUUAUGCAUUUGUCGUAACAGAUUGUUUAGAGAAGUUGGUUAAUAUUUGAUGUUUUUAAUGAACAAUGAGAUUUGAAUUCAAAUCU